CAGAAUAAACCAGAACACACAUAUAGUCCUCCUGAACAGUAUUUUAAUACUCCAAUUCCUAUGCAAGUAGACGAAUUCGAUAAAUUUUUAAAGAAACAUGAUAUUGAUGUGGCAUCCGUUAUGGCUCCUUUGAGUAUCCCAGUUCCUCAAAGCGUAAAAUCCUGGAAAUCAAAAAAUAAAGUCAUUUCAAAGGCAAGCAAUCGAAAUGUUAAUGAUUUGAAAAAGUGUUAUGCAUUAAAACGACAGCAAGAUAAUC
rnacentral:misc_RNA from 1 species